UGCAGUCGACGAUGAAGUUCUCUUCGGAGAGCGGAUUAGUGGCGAACGGGUGAGGAACACGUGAAGAAUCUGCCCUCCACUUUGGGAUAACUCCGGGAAACCGGGGCUAAUACCGAAUAUUGAAGCAUAAGCGGCAUCGCUGAGCUUUGAAAGAAUUUCGGUGGAGGAUGACUUCGCGGCCUAUCAGCUUGUUGGUGAGGUAAUGGCUCACCAAGGCUACGACGGGUAUCCGGCCUGAGAGGGCGACCGGACACACUGGGACUGAGACACGGCCCAGACUCCUACGGGAGGCAGCAGUGGGGAAUAUUGGGCAAUGGACGCAAGUCUGACCCAGCGACGCCGCGUGAGGGAUGAAGGCCUUCGGGUUGUAAACCUCUUUCAGUAGGGAAGAAGCGAAAGUGACGGUACCUACAAAAGAAGCACCGGCUAACUAUGUGCCAGCAGCCGCGGUAAUACAUAGGGUGCAAGCGUUGUCCGGAUUUAUUGGGCGUAAAGAACUCGUAGGUGGUUUGUUACGUCGGAUGUGAAACUCUGGGGCUCAACCCCAGACCUGCAUCCGAUACGGGCAGACUAGAGUGUGGUAGGGGAGACUGGAAUUCCUGGUGUAGCGGUGGAAUGCGCAGAUAUCAGGAGGAACACCAAUGGCGAAGGCAGGUCUCUGGGCCAUUACUGACACUGAGGAGUGAAAGUGUGGGGAGCGAACAGGAUUAGAUACCCUGGUAGUCCA
rnacentral:rRNA from 1 species